rnacentral:rRNA from 1 species
AAAGGAAUAGACGGGGGCCCGCACAAGCAGUGGAGUAUGUGGAUUAAUUCGACGCAACGCGAAGAACCUUACCAGGUAUUGACAUUGAGCGCAUACCGUGGAAACACGGGAAGUCCUUCGGGACGCUCAAACAGGUGGUGCAUGGUUGUCGUCAGCUCGUGUCGUGAGAUGUUGGGUUAAGUCCCGCAACGAGCGCAACCCUUACCGAUAGUUACUACGAAAGAGGACUCUAUCGGGACUGCCGUUGACAAAACGGAGGAAGGUGGGGAUGACGUCAAAUCAUCAUGCCCUUUAUGAUCUGGGCUUCACACGUACUACAAUGGUCGCCAACAAUAGGAACCGAAAGCGCGAGCUGGAGGGAAACCAUUAAAAGCGAUCUCAGUUCGGAUUGCAGGCUGCAACUCGCCUGCAUGAAGUCGGAAUUGCUAGUAAUCGCGGAUCAGCAUGCCGCGGUGAAUACGUUCCCGGGCCUUGUACACACCGCCCGU